CUACUCGGGUAUCUAAUCCCGUUCGCUCCCCUAGCUUUCGCACAUCAGCGUCAGUGUCAGCCCAGCAACCCGCCUUCGCCGCAGGUGUUCCUCUCGAUAUCUACGCAUUUCACCGCUACACCGAGAAUUCCAGUUGCCCCUUCUGCACUCUAGCCCCGCAGUAUCAGUUGACCUUUCUGGGUUAAGCCCAGAGCUUUCACAACUGACUUGCGGUGGCCGCCUACGCGCCCUUUACGCCCAGUAAAUCCGAACAACGCUUGCUCCCCCCGUAUUACCGCGGCUGCUGGCAC
rnacentral:rRNA from 1 species